CCUAGCCCUUCAGAGGGGGACAACAGUUGGAAACGACUGCUAAUACCGCAUACGAUCUAACCUCGGCAUCGAGGAUGGAUGAAAGGUGGCCUCUAUUUAUAAGCUAUCACUGAAGGAGGGGAUUGCGUCUGAUUAGCUAGUUGGAGGGGUAACGGCCCACCAAGGCGAUGAUCAGUAGCCGGUCUGAGAGGAUGAACGGCCACAUUGGGACUGAGGCACGGCCCAG
rnacentral:rRNA from 1 species